rnacentral:rRNA from 1 species
GACGAACGCUGGCGGCGUGCUUAACACAUGCAAGUCGAGCGGUAAGGCCCUUUCGGGGGUACGACGAGCGGCGAACGGGUGAGUAACACGUGGGUGACCUGCCCUUAGCUCUGGGAUAAGCCUGGGAAACUGGGUCUAAUACCGGAUAUGACUCCAUGACGCAUGUUGUGGGGUGGAAAGCCUUGUGCGGCUAGGGAUGGGCCCGCGGCCUAUCAGCUUGUUGGUGGGGUGAUGGCCUACCAAGGCGACGACGGGUAGCCGGCCUGAGAGGGCGACCGGCCACACUGGGACUGAGACACGGCCCAGACUCCUACGGGAGGCAGCAGUGGGGAAUCUUGCGCAAUGGGCGAAAGCCUGACGCAGCGACGCCGCGUGAGGGAUGACGGCCUCGGUGUAACUAC